rnacentral:misc_RNA from 1 species
UCAAACUUGGUCAUUUAGAGGAAGUAAAAGUCGUAACAAGGUCUCCGUAGGUGAACCUGCGGAGGGAUCAUUAUCGAAUGGCCCCCCGAGGCCUUCAACCCCCUCAAACCUGUGGACCCUUGAACACUGUGCUUCGGCGCCGUUCUCUGACGGCGUCGCCUUUAUGCAUGGGGUCUGACGUUGUCUGAUUGCUUUGAAGAUUGAAAACUUUCAACAAAGGAUCUCUUGGCUCUCGCAUCGAUGAAGAACGCAGC